UUCACCAGCUAGUCAGUCAUAAAACAGCUAAGGUUUUUGCAAAUCAGCUCUAAAUCAACUGCUCUAAGAAAAGCAGGAAUAGAGCUGAUUUACAGCGGUCACUAGCAACACUGUUUUUAUUUUUUCUAAAAAUCUGGCAUCACGUCUGUCAUUUUGAGUGAGAGUGAGAGAGAGUGAGCGGGAAGGAAAACAAAACAAUACAAAGCUCUCGCUCACUCGUAGUGAAAUCAACAUGGGAAUAUCAGAACUGGAAAAAUUUUGGACUCCUUUUUUACUAUUUUAGAGUCAACAGCUGUAUAAUGGAAUUCCAAUAUUCCAACGACGGCGAGGAAACACCACCUGUUGAAAUCAGAAUCUGGCAUUGGCAGGUACGACGAUCCACGAAUUCAACGCUGAAUUGUCCGGAUUUGGAGGACACUUCGUGGUGCCCCAGAUGCAUGUACGAAAGCGAGUACCGUGUUUUAAGUUUGUGAUAAUUUAACUGUGCGAUGCGCGGUGCGACGUUUGAUAAUUAUUAAUAAAAAAUGGUUUUGAGCCUAAA